GGUGUCUAUACUAGGAGCGCACAGCGUGUCUGUACCAGGAGCGCACAGCGUGUCUAUACCGGGAGCACACAGUGUGUCUGUACCGGGAGCACACAGUGUGUCUGUACCGGGAGCACACAGUGUGUCUGUACCGGGAGCACACCGUGUGUCUAAACCGGGAGUACACAGUUUGUCUAUACCGGGAGUACACAGUUUGUCUAUACUGGAAGCACAUAGUGUUUCUAUACCGGG